AGAGUUUUAUCAUGGCUCAGGACGAACGCUGGCGGCGCGCCUAACACAUGCAAGUCGAACGAGCGAGAGAGAGCUUGCUUUCUCAAGCGAGUGGCGAACGGGUGAGUAACGCGUGAGGAACCUGCCUCAGAGAGGGGGACAACAGUUGGAAACGACUGCUAAUACCGCAUAAGCCCACGGCUCGGCAUCGAGCAGAGGGAAAAGGAGCAAUCCGCUUUGAGAUGGCCUCGCGUCCGAUUAGCUAGUUGGUGAGGUAACGGCCCACCGAGGCGACGAUCGGUAGCCGGACUGAGAGGUUGAACGGCCACAUUGGGACUGAGACACGGCCCAGACUCCUACGGGAGGCAGCAGUGGGGAAUAUUGCACAAUGGGGGAAACCCUGAUGCAGCGACGCCGCGUGGAGGAAGAAGGUCUUCGGAUUGUAAACUCCUGUUGUUGAGGAAGAUAAUGACGGUACUCAACAAGGAAGUGACGGCUAACUACGUGCCAGCAGCCGCGGUAAAACGUAGGUCACAAGCGUUGUCCGGAAUUACUGGGUGUAAAGGGAGCGCAGGCGGGAAGACAAGUUGGAAGUGAAAUCCAUGGGCUCAACCCAUGAACUGCUUUCAAAACUGUUUUUCUUGAGUAGUGCAGAGGUAGGCGGAAUUCCCGGUGUAGCGGUGGAAUGCGUAGAUAUCGGGAGGAACACCAGUGGCGAAGGCGGCCUACUGGGCACCAACUGACGCUGAGGCUCGAAAGUGUGGGUAGCAAACAGGAUUAGAUACCCUGGUAGUCCACACUGUAAACGAUGAUUACUAGGUGUUGGAGGAUUGACCCCUUCAGUGCCGCAGUUAACACAAUAAGUAAUCCACCUGGGGAGUACGACCGCAAGGUUGAAACUCAAAGGAAUUGACGGGGGCCCGCACAAGCAGUGGAGUAUGUGGUUUAAUUCGACGCAACGCGAAGAACCUCACCAAGUCUUGACAUCCUGCGACGCACAUAGAAAUAUGUGUUUCCUUCGGGACGCAGAGACAGGUGGUGCAUGGUUGUCGUCAGCUCGUGUCGUGAGAUGUUGGGUUAAGUCCCGCAACGAGCGCAACCCCUAUCUUCAGUAGCCAGCAGGUAAGGCUGGGCACUCUGGAGAGACUGCCAGGGAUAACCUGGAGGAAGGUGGGGACGACGUCAAAUCAUCAUGCCCCUUAUGAUCUGGGCGACACACGUGCUACAAUGGCGGUCACAGAGUGAGGCGAACCCGCGAGGGGGAGCAAACCACAAAAAGGCCGUCCCAGUUCGGACUGUAGUCUGCAACCCGACUACACGAAGCUGGAAUCGCUAGUAAUCGCGAAUCAGAAUGUCGCGGUGAAUACGUUCCCGGGUCUUGUACACACCGCCCGUCACACCAUGGGAGUCGGAAAUGCCCGAAGCCAGUGACCCAACCUUUUGGAGGGAGCUGUCGAAGGUGGAGCCGGUAACUGGGGUGAAGUCGUAACAAGGUA
rnacentral:rRNA from 1 species